GACCCCAUCGUCUAGAGGCCUAGGACAUCGCCCUUUCACGGCGGUAACGAGGGUUCGACUCCCUCUGGGGUCGCCA
rnacentral:tRNA from 1 species